rnacentral:piRNA from 1 species
UGACAAGCAGCAACCGGAUUGGCCAAAUAGC